rnacentral:lncRNA from 1 species
CCAGACCAACAAUAACAUCCCGGCUAAUAGUGUGUCGAGUCUGGCCAGCCUCUACUGGAUCCAGCUACCUGCUGCUGGAAAUUCUGAUGAGAACUCCUAUGGAUAUAUUACAUUAUCCCUAUCUUUUCUUUCUUGGCCUUUAGCUCCCCCUUGAGCUCAAAAACCUCAUGCUUUAGCUCAUGGACCUUGUCUUUGGCUAAAACCCACUCAUCAUGUUCCUGUUCCCAC